ACCUGCUCUGUAACUGAAAGUCAUUCGACACAAGCCUUUUAUUACAUACGAGUAUCUCCAGCAAAACCAUGUGUAGAAUCGAUUUGCAGGUAUCCGAUACUUUGCGAGCAAGAGAGAGAGAGAGUUACAUUUCCCUAACUGAAAUCGCCCAGGUCACCAAACUCGUUCCCUACUAAAUCGCCCAGGUAACCAAACUCGUUCCCUACUAAUUAUAGCAACCAUUGGGUCACCUAUCUAUGAAAAAAUCUCGGCAAACCCUCCAUAUCAAUAGACAACACAUGAAGCAGAUUAGGGAGAAAUAGAUAGGCGAACCGCCGUCUGUUGACAUCUCCGUCUGUUAUUUCGUCAGUUGUGGAAGCCUACAGUACCCCGAAAAUUGACCAACACUGUGUAAUCAAGGGUCCUCGUUCAGUCCCACGAAGUCUACGGUGGCAGGGAACGAGAGUCAGUCGAAGGGAGGCCGAGAAAUAAGGAAGAUCUGGUGACGAGCGACUUCCUCGGGACUUUCGAGUUCGAGGUUUUGACACAUCUGUCUCGGUCCUCCUCUCAGGUCUCGUUGUGACCUAUCAACGGCUACUAGGGCUGCAUCUCUCGACGGGGCUUCGAGUUCAAGGGAUUGUGAUGCAGAGCCUUGAUUUCACUAAUAGGUUGCGUAAUCCAGAGAGAAACUCACAAGUGGUGUUCAUGACAAGUGUGAAAUUUGUACGAACAUUACAGAAGCAUGUGUUACCACCAUUACCAUUACUAAAUUGUUUAUGAAUUGUUUGCGUCGCGUAUUUGUGUUGUGUGUGUAACUCUUAAAGAACAAUUGCAAGUACAAAUAAGAGUGAUAGUGCAACUGGUCUCUACUUAAUCGGUUGUCUAAUUUCAAUUUGGCAACCUUUUCUAUUCAGUAUUUAACUUGUUUCAAGAGAGGAACAAAAUGGCAGAACAGGAGAAAGAUUCUGUUCCGUUAUCAUUAUCACCUGAGGACGAGAAGCUUCAAGCAGCAUGUAUAGAGCAGGAGGCAGCUCAGGAGAACUUUGUCAUUUUAAAGAAUAUGCUGAUCAGCCCCAAUGACACUGUUUUUGAUCAAUUAAGAACGCACUUGCAAGAGAAGAUUUGCGAUGGGAAUGGAGAGACGCUCUUUGAUGUUGGAGUGGGGGCAGGUUAGUUACUGCAUG